CGCAUUUUAUUUUUUUAUGGGACGGAGCUAAAGUCCUCGUGCUUAUUUCCAGAACAAAACCUUUCCCUGGAAAGUUUCACCAAAAUAAAUAGGGGCUGGGAUGGAGCAGCCAAAAUAGGCUCUUUUCCCUCACUUAUUUCAGAAUGGAGGCCAAAUGAAAACAAUGGGGAGAGAUAAAGAAUCUGUGGUUUAAAACUCCGUGGGAGAAAGUCCUGAUUUGAGGUAGGGUGUUUGCAGUGAAAGCUUUAAAUAAGGUUGGAAUAUUGUGAAAACCAGAGGCGCGGUGCUGACCUGGCUAUCUCUGUAAACAUUUCCAUUUUAUACAUGCCUUUUCAAUCCCUCCAGCACCCUCAACUCCUCGGGGUGAGAGGUGGGAUUUGGGGUGAGUUGUCAUUGUUUUCGUGGUUUGGCCUAAAUUCUCGAUAUGAUUUUCCCAAGACCAAGUGAAAUUCUCAUUUCUCAGGGUAAAAGGGAAAAACGUUAUGUCCUUGUUUCCGUUGUGACUAAACCGGAAAAAAAAAAUUUUUUUUAAUACCAUAACUAAAACCAAAUUGAAACCCAGCGUAUUCUAGAAGGCUGAUGUGUGAUAGGUUGGCAGCCGACCAAUUUGUUUCUCCAUCCAGCUUUAGGUGUUUUUCAUGAAUCAAAACCAACACACACGCACACCAGGAAACUGGUGUAACCCACACAACAAGCAAGCGGGGUUAGACCACAGCACGAGGCAGACCCCAGGGGCUCCCUCAGAGGCCAGACGCCUCCCCGGGCUACCUCUCAACUCUCGCAAAGCAAUUGAGGGAAGAGGGAGAGAAAGGCCACUUACCUCGAAAAUGCUCUUCAAAAGGGGAGAGGCUAUCCCUGGGAUCUGCCCGGGGCUCCAAGAACCCCAGACUCUGCCCGCUAUUCCUCGGUCUCGCCCGAUGAAAUAGUGUCAACUCCAGCAAGUCCACAGUCAGGCAGGGCCACGGCCACGCCACGCAGUCUCCUUCCCAUCAAUAGGAUCAAUAAGUCAGAGGCUGCUCAACACAGGUGCGGGGCCCAACUGCACCCGACUAUUCCAGACAAACCCCAAUUUCUCUAGCCACCGACACCAGAUACGUCUCUUCUCCAGCUCAGACCUGGCCCUGGGCCGCCCACGAGCCCCGGAGCUUGCUCUCAGACUCCAAGAUCCAAACGAUGUUGGCUCCCCAACCCCACCCCCCUCCCAGAACCAUUGUUUGGAUUCCACGGGCCUGAGGGACCUCAGUUUGGGGGAGGAGGCAGCCAUGCUAUUCACAAUCAGUCCUCUCCAAGCUAUGCAACCGGUUUCCAGAAUUGUGUAGUUAGGGGUGGGGGUAGGGGUGUCCAGGCCAUCCACGGGCCCGCAGAGAACCAACUGGGGUGGGACGUGAUCCAGAAAUGACCAGGUGCCCACCACCUCUCUGACUAGGCCCAUCCUCCCUCCCCCCCCCUCCCCAUUCCCUCACUCCAAUAAUUCCUCCAAGGGGAAGUGAGAAGCCACUCUCGCCAAGGCUCGGCUUCCCCUUGGCCGGGGACGCUCGCCGCUACUGCUUUUGGCCACAGCGUGGCAGCACUGAGCCCCGAGCGAGUCACCAUAAAUAAUCGCACCCCCCUUGCUGCAGUUGCAGGGGAGCAGACACCGCAGUGCCAUGCAAAUACAAUUCUUUAGCAGCCGACAGAGCACAAACAACGCCGGUGUUAACAUUAGGAGUGCGCGCGGCUCCUUCUGAAUUACGGUAAUGAAUACCAAGAUAAUCCCGAAGCCCCAGCCCCCUGCACCGCUGCUGGCUGGGGACUUUGCCUCUCCUUGCCUCUGCAGCUCGCAGACCGGAGGGCGCCCUGGACCACUGAAACACGCGUGCGGAUGCCAAAUCGGUUACGAAAACAUAGCCCUCUCAGCCCUCCCCAGGUCUCGAUCUGUUUGCCUUUUGCCUGUGAACUCUACACACACACACACACACACACACACACACACACCUCUUUUUCUUUUUCUUUCUUUCUUUCUUUUUUUUUUUUUUUAAUAUAAUCUCUUCCCCUUCCAGUCAAAUACAAGUCCUCGGUCCUAAACUAAAAGAAAUUCGCUUAUGAUUCAAAAGGAGUAGCGAGCUUCCAGACUGUACACAGACACCCAGAGAUAUAUACGGAGGUGGACACACAGUCACUCAACAACACCCGUGGCCCCCAAACAUCCACGCUGCAAUGUCUGCUCCAAAGCACCCAAACCGCUCUUGGCCACGGUACAAACCGAACCAUUCGAAGAGAACCAUCUCCACCAACAGCGAAACUUCAGCCAAUUAACACGUAAGCCUAGUCAACCAACUCCCCCAAAUUCCAACAACAAAUCCAUUUCCUCUAUUCUCCCAUUUCAGACCUCUCUCCUGGAAAUCCCGUACCAAACGAGAAGCUGCUAAUUGCAAGAGGGUUCUCUCAAUUUGAAGGAACUCCAGUCAUUCUGACAGCUGUCGCUUCGGUUGCUGCUCGGGAGACGAAUCGCCCUCCUUUUGGUGCCAGAAGAAGCAGGAAAUUAGCCAGGUUGCGAGUCGAAAAUCGGCCAGUCGGCAGCUUGGAUCCAGCGUGCCCCACCUUCCCUUCCCCCCGGGCUCCGGGCAAGGGCCCUGCCGGCAGGUCGGGGCUUGGAGGCGGCCCCUGCAUCCCCUCCUUCUCCGCUCCCCAUUGCCUUCCAAAGAGCAAACGCUAUAGGGACUGAAAAGCCCGAGAUCCGAAGCAGGACCGAGCUCAGCAAAAGAAUGCAGCUCUAUUCUCGCAAGGGAAAUUAUAAAAAAGUUCAUGUUCACGGUUGCCAUCCACAUGACCGACAGCGGCCAAUGGAAACCCCGAACAACUCAUAAAGUUGUAUUGCAAAGUUGUAAAUUUUCAUAAACAACAACGGAUUUAUGGCCUUUUCCUCAUCACUGAGAAGAGGCAGGUCUUACAGAGGCGCCAUCUUACCAGAAAGGCAGCCCAGGAGUGCUAGGCUGGGCUUUUUGCAGCCCCACUUUGCCCUCGUUUUCUUGGAGGAGCGAUUAGACGCUCUCCAGCCAGGAGGAGGCCGCGGCGGAGGCCGCUUGGCAGAGGCAAGCAGAGUCGAGCUCUGGGCCUCUAGGUCAGCCCUGAGCUGCCUUCCUCCCCCUCCCUUCCCUCUCGGCCUGCCUUCAUCCUCUUUCUCCCCCUCUCUUCCCCGGCUGCAGCAGAGUUUUAGUGAAUUUCGAUUUCCUAGGAAGCCUUUUUUCUUCCCCAUGAGCCCUUUGCUGCAGCAGCUCCGGGGUGGGAUGAAGUGGCCUAGAACGGACUGGGCUGGGCUGAACGGGACUGGACGGGAUGGGGGAAAUCACAAUCAGCAGCAGGCCCUGCCACGGACAGCUCGACCACCGGGCCCCACUUUUUUUUUUUUUGUCCUGCUUGCGGUCUGGACCCUGCACCUCCAGAGCUGAAAUCAGAUUCUCGGGGACACCGAUUCAGCCCGACUGGACCCGGCUUCCGAGCGGGCCAGAAUCUGGAGCUGAGCCGAGGGACACUUCUGGGAAAUAGGGCAAAGCCAACUUGGCGAGGGAGGUUCCCUGCCUCCACCCCCGCCCUCCCAGGAUCCUACCCCGAGAAAGGUGCAGUUUGAGGAGGGGGUCCUCCUAUAAAGGACAGACCGAAUAUUGACAGAUGGAAGUGUCUGUUCGUGUUCACGUGUGUCCGCGCACAAACACGUCUCCACACGCACGUGAAAAUAGCUCAAACUUGUGUCCUGAUAUCACAUACCCAUAUCGUUCAGGCGAUAUUCUCCCUCUUCUCCGCACCCAAACCCCUUUAUUUCCCCCCAGUGCUUUUUAUGGUGCCUGAGCGCGAAUAAAGAAACCAAGUCUAUUGUCA